GAACGCUGGCGGCAGGCCUAACACAUGCAAGUCGAGCGGUAGAGAGGUGCUUGCAUCUCUUGAGAGCGGCGGACGGGUGAGUAAUGCCUAGGAAUCUGCCUAGGUGGUGGGGGAUAACGUUCGGAAACGGACGCUAAUACCGCAUACGUCCUACGGGAGAAAGCAGGGGACCUUCGGGCCUUGCGCUAUCAGAUGAGCCUAGGUCGGAUUAGCUAGUAGGUGAGGUAAUGGCUCACCUAGGCGACGAUCCGUAACUGGUCUGAGAGGAUGAUCAGUCACACUGGAACUGAGACACGGUCCAGACUCCUACGGGAGGCAGCAGUGGGGAAUAUUGGACAAUGGGCGAAAGCCUGAUCCAGCCAUGCCGCGUGUGUGAAGAAGGUCUUCGGAUUGUAAAGCACUUUAAGUUGGGAGGAAGGGCAGUAAGUUAAUACCUUGCUGUUUUGACGUUACCAACAGAAUAAGCACCGGCUAACUUCGUG
rnacentral:rRNA from 1 species